rnacentral:rRNA from 1 species
GAAACGGCAUUAAGUGCUUGCACUUUUUGGACGUCGACCGGCGCACGGGUGAGUAACGCGUAUCCAACCUUCCCAUGACUAAGGGAUAACCUGCCGAAAGGCAGACUAAUACCUUAUGGUCUUCACUGACGGCAUCAGAUGUGAAGUAAAGAUUUAUCGGUUAUGGAUGGGGAUGCGUCUGAUUAGCUUGUUGGCGGGGUAACGGCCCACCAAGGCAACGAUCAGUAGGGGUUCUGAGAGGAAGGUCCCCCACAUUGGAACUGAGACACGGUCCAAACUCCUACGGGAGGCAGCAGUGAGGAAUAUUGGUCAAUGGGCGAGAGCCUGAACCAGCCAAGUAGCGUGCAGGAAGACGGCCCUAUGGGUUGUAAACUGCUUUUGUAUGGGGAUAAAGUCAAUCACGUGUGAUUGUUUGCAGGUACCAUACGAAUAAGGACCGGCUAAUUCCGUGCCAGCAGCCGCGGUGAUACGGAAGGUCCGGGCGUUAUCCGGAUUUAUUGGGUUUAAAGGGAGCGUAGGCUGGAGAUUAAGUGUGUUGUGAAAUGUAGACGCUCAACGUCUGACUUGCAGCGCAUACUGGUUUCCUUGAGUACGCACAACGUUGGCGGAAUUCGUCGUGUAGCGGUGAAAUGCUUAGAUAUGACGAAGAACUCCGAUUGCGAAGGCAGCUGACGGGAGCGCAACUGACGCUGAAGCUCGAAGGUGCGGGUAUCGAACAGGAUUAGAUACCCUGGUAGUCCGCACAGUAAACGAUGGAUGCCCGCUGUUGGUACCUGGUAUCA